rnacentral:rRNA from 1 species
CCUACGGGUGGCUGCAGUGGGGAAUAUUGGACAAUGGGGGGAACCCUGAUCCAGCCAUGCCGCGUGUGUGAAGAAGGCCCUCGGGUUGUAAAGCACUUUCAGUGAGGAAGAACGCCUGGUGGUUAAUACCCAUCAGGAAAGACAUCACUCACAGAAGAAGCACCGGCUAACUCCGUGCCAGCAGCCGCGGUAAUACGGAGGGUGCGAGCGUUAAUCGGAAUUACUGGGCGUAAAGCGCGCGUUGGUGGCUUGAUAAGCCGGUUGUGAAAGCCCCGGGCUCAACCUGGGAACGGCAUCCGGAACUGUCAAGCUAGAGUGCAGGAGAGGAAGGUAGAAUUCCCGGUGUAGCGGUGAAAUGCGUAGAGAUCGGGAGGAAUACCAGUGGCGAAGGCGGCCUUCUGGACUGACACUGACACUGAGGUGCGAAAGCGUGGGUAGCAAACAGGAUUAGAUACCCUAGUAGUC